CAUGACAUGUGUGUAGCGGGGUAGCUCUUGCAGGUGGGGUUUUGACCCCCGGCCCGUGCUCACCCAGGGCCCCAGACAGCUCCAUACGCCUGCGCUUUGUUUCUUCUUUGAGUCCCAGCUGUUACCUCGCUGCGAGGUCCUGAGGACCCGACUCUCGCUGGCUUACAGGGAGGCCCCUGGGAGUCUGAGUGGGCUGGGCCCCCAGGAGCCCCCAGGGGCCCAGAACAAGAGUAGGCACAGCAAGGCAGCUGGGUGGAGGGUCUGGGCACCCAAGAGCAGUGCUGGGCAGAGGGCAGGUGGAGGUGGGGCUGUCCCCUCUUAUGCCACCUCAAGGUUCCGGUCCGACCCCGAAGGGGAAAUGAAUGCAGUAGAUGAUCCCAGUCCUCCCCUUCCCUGCUGCCAUCCCUGGGGGCGGCGUGGGGAACAGACCUAGACCUGCGGGGCACGGAACUCAGCGGUACUUCUCCGUCAGCACCACGGCCACGCCCGUCAGGAACUUAUCCCACGCCGCCUGCAUCUCCACCAUGAACUCGCCCUGCAGGUGGGAGGCCAGCACCACCUGGAAACACUGGAUCACCAGUGGGAAGUUGGUGGGGUCCACGUGCAGCACUUGUGCGUGCAGGUCGGCAAGCGGGCUCAGGACUGCGCACAGGUUGUCCAUGUACUGCACGGCCCUGUAUAAAAGAUUUUGUGCGGACGUAAGUUUUUACUUAUCUGAGAUAAAUACUCAGGACUGCAAUGGCUGUACUAUUUCACAUUCCCACCAACAGUGGACGAGAGAUCCAGUUCCCCAGAAUCGUCACCAGCAUUUGGAUGCAUGUGGAGUGAGCUGGAGGCUGUGAGAGGCCAGACCACACCAGGCUCUGUGGAAUGGAAUCCUGAAUCCAGCAGCACUCUGGGCACUGGAGAACACAGUCCCUUUAAACCAUGUAACUCCGUCACAGAGAAAUGGAAGAGGAAAUUGAGACUCUGUUGGCCUCUGGAUCUUGGAAUAUGCCCUUCCCACUUUUAUCACUAACCUGGAGAAUUCUGGAGGCACUUCAUUUGCAUUUAAAGGAAUGUUUGCAUAGGAGGAUUCUUUCUGAAAUUGUUUGCAUCCGGGGACUCAAAUUGCCUAAUUGGGUUCAGGGGUACUUUCUUAUUUGUGCGGUGAGGUGGCUUGGAUAGAGCCCCCCUGACCUCCUGCCCUGAAGUGGGAUUUGUCUGUUCAGGUUGUCAAGGGUGUGGGGAGCGGGGUUGAGCAUUGCCUGUAGCACAGCAGGGCACUCCAUCUGCUUAGGAAGUCCCAGGCUGCCUUUCCGUGUAACUGCGCCAAGGGAAAGCUUCCCAGACCUUUUGGAGUUCAAACAGCUCUUGUAAAAUGGCAUUUUGAUGAGCUGAGCAUAAAUGAAUUGGAAAUGUUCAGAUAAUGUUUCCCCAGGGUUUAAAAACCAAGGAGAAACAUGCUUGGCAAAGGGUCUAAGGGGCUGGGCCAAGAGUUUGAAAAGUGAUUUGAGAUGCUAUGAUGAACCUAAAUUACCACCAGUUUCUCCCACCUUUGCUGGUGCAGAGGGCCUGGGGGAAGGGGCCUCAGGCAGGAGGAAAGAGCUUCUUUCUCCACCAGGGAGAAGGGAGAGCAGCUUUGACACCAUGGUCAUCUAAUGUGGGGCUUUCUCAACUUUCAGGCUGAGUUUACUAUCAGAUCUGUCUACCCAUCUCUGCAUCCAUUAUUCCAUCCAUCCUUUCGUCCAUCUAUUCAUCAUUCCAUCCAUCCAUCCAUUCAUUCAUCCAUCAUUCCAUCCAUCCUUCUGUCCACCUAUCCAUCUAAUGAAUACUUACUAAGCACACACUGUGUACAUGACUCUGAGAAGACAGAAGAUAAUGAGCCUCAGUCCCUGACCUUUCAGAUCUCAGUGUUCUGGUGGGAGAAACUUGAGGACAGGCAGGGGCUACAGGAGUCAGGGUAAGAAUGGUACCCCUUUGAGACUUCCAGAGUGACAACUUUGCCAAAGUUUCCAAUGACACCCUGGUGGGGUGAUAGGAUGCCUCCAAGUUGGACCAGGGACCCCCAAGAUGAGGUGCCAUUCGGAAUGGAAAGUGAAGGAAGGGGUUCACCCUACACUUGAGCCCAAAGCUGUACCAGAAUGACCCCAGGACAGUGGAUUCUAGAGAUGACGCAGUGGAAGGGUCAUCAGUGCCAGAGGAGAGCCUUAUCCCUCUAAACACUGUCCUAGGACCAUUGCUUAUUACCCCAUGCAGCUCCCACAGCAACCCCGGAAGAUACUCCUAUCCUCCCUUAGAAAAAAGAGGAUUUUAGGGUGGGGACUUAGCCCACGGUUACCUGGAUGGAAAGCUGGGAACUGGUGCCUCCAUCUGCACUGGGUGAUGAGGCUCCUUUCUAGAGGAAAGCAGAACCAGGACACCAGUGGCCACAAACUCCAGGGUCUGCCACCAGGCUGGGUAUGCAGUGUUGACCUUAGCCAGGAAGAGAAAUUGUUUAGAAUGGCAAGUCUGAAGCUGCAAGGAUACGCCAGCCCAGGGAAGUCUCUUGAUGCACCUAAAUUCUUCUUGGUGCAGAAGACAGAAUCUUGGAAGAGAUUUGGAGACCAUUGGAUCUGAUUUCUAAUUCUGCUGACCCAUCCUGUCCCAAAAGGGAACUUUUUUUUAUUAAUAAAAAACUCUUUAU
ensembl:lncRNA